rnacentral:rRNA from 1 species
UACGUAGGUGGCGAGCGUUGUCCGGAAUCACUGGGCGUAAAGCGCGCGCAGGCGGCGAUCUACGUCUGGGGUGAAAGCCCGGAGCUCAACUCCGGGACUGCCUUGGAUACGGGAUCGCUUGAGGAUUGGAGAGGCAAGGGGAAUUCCACGUGUAGCGGUGAAAUGCGUAGAGAUGUGGAGGAACACCUGUGGCGAAGGCGCCUUGCUGGCAGAUUUCUGACGCUGAGGCGCGAAAGCGUGGGGAGCAAACAGG